rnacentral:rRNA from 1 species
GCUAAAUAGCUAGCCAAUAGUUAAGUAAACAGUACAACAUUAAAAUACUUAAUAAAACUCCACAACCAUAAAAUAAAACAUUUUACCGCCCAAGUAUGGGAGACAGAAAAGGCGCAAUAUAUGAGCUAUAGAAAAAGUACCGCAAGGGAAUGCUGAAAGAAAAAUGAAAUAAAUCAUUAAGCACAAAAAAGCAGAGAUUUAACCUCGUACCUUUUGCAUCAUGAUUUAGCCAGUCCAACUGAGCAAAGAGUGCUUUAGUUCAAGACCCCGAAACUAAGUGAGCUACCCCGAGACAGCCUGUUAAUUAGGGCCAACCCGUCUCUGUGGCAAAAGAGUGGGAAGAUCUCCAGGUAGCGGUGAUAAGCCUACCGCACUUAGUUAUAGCUGGUUGCCUAAAAAAUGAAUAAAAGUUCAGCCUUGCACUCCUCUCCUCACAAGUAUUUUAUAGUACAAGAGUAAGAGAAAUAUGCAAGAGUUAAUCAAAAGGGGUACAGCCCUUUAGAAUCAGAACACAACCUUACCAGGAGGUUAAAGAUUAUAUUAAGCAAGACCCCCGCUCUAGUGGGCCUAAAAGCAGCCACCUAGAUAGAAAGCGUUAAAGCUCAGGCGGACCAAAACUCUAUUAUUCAAAUAUUUUAUCUAAAAUCCCUAAAUUUAUUAGGCCACUCCAUGCCCACAUGGAAAAGAUACUGCUAAAAUGAGUAAUAAGAAGGAACCCCUUCUCCUCAGCCUACGUGUAUGCUAGACCGGACCCCCCACUAGCCAUUACCGAGCCCAACCAAAGAGGGCAAUGUGAUCACCAAAAAAACCAAGAAAUACCCACAACAACUAAUCGUUAAUCCAACACCGGAAGGCCAAAUAUAUGGAAAGACUAAAAGAAAAGGAAGGAACUCGGCAAACACAAGCCCCGCCUGUUUACCAAAAACAUCGCCUCCUGCAAACAUCCUACGUACAGGAGGUCUUGCCUGCCCAGUGACAAAUUAAACGGCCGCGGUAUUCUGACCGUGCGAAGGUAGCGCAAUCACUUGUCUUUUAAAUAAAGACCUGUAUGAAUGGCGGAACGAGGGCUCAGCUGUCUCCCCUUUCUAGUCAAUGAAAUUGAUCUGCCCGUGCAGAAGCGGACAUAACAAUACAAGACGAGAAGACCCUAUGGAGCUUAAGAUUUAAGAUCACCUAUGUAAAGAGUCAAUGAUACUAACUAAAAUAGAAGCUGAUCCCAAUCUUUGGCUGGGGCGGCCGCGGAAGAAAACAGAGCUCCCGCGCGGACUGGGAUACAUCCUAAAACCAAGAGAGACAUCUCCAAGCCACAGAACAUCUGACCACAAGAUCCGGCCAACAGCCGAUCUACGAACCAAGUUACCCUAGGGAUAACAGCGCAAUCCCCUCCCAGAGUCCCUAUCGACAAGGGGGUUUACGACCUCGAUGUUGGAUCAGGACAUCCUAAUGGUGCAGCCGCUAUUAAGGGUUCGUUUGUUCAACGAUUAAAGUCCUACGUGAUCUGAGUUCAGACCGGAGUAAUCCAGGUCAGUUUCUAUCUGUAACGCCACUUCUUCCCAGUACGAAAGGACCGGAAAAAGAGGGCCCAUGUUAACGACACGCCCCACCCCCACUUAAUGACCCCCACUAAAUUAAAUAAAAGGAGGCAAGCCCCCCGAUCGAGAUAAGAUUA